UGCAGUCGAGCGAAUUUGAUGGGAGCUUGCUCCCUGAAAAUUAGCGGCGGACGGGUGAGUAACACGUGGGCAACCUACCUGUAAGCCUGGGAUAACUUCGGGAAACCGGAGCUAAUACCGGAUAAUUUCUUUCUUCACAUGGAGAGAGGUUGAAAGACGGCUUUGCUGUCACUUACAGAUGGGCCCGCGGCGCAUUAGCUAGUUGGUGAGGUAACGGCUCACCAAGGCCACGAUGCGUAGCCGACCUGAGAGGGUGAUCGGCCACACUGGGACUGAGACACGGCCCAGACUCCUACGGGAGGCAGCAGUAGGGAAUCUUCCGCAAUGGACGAAAGUCUGACGGAGCAACGCCGCGUGAGUGAAGAAGGUCUUCGGAUCGUAAAACUCUGUUAUCAGGGAAGAACAAGUACCGGAGUUACUGCCGGUACCUUGACGGUACCUGACCAGAAAGCCACGGCUAACUACGUGCCAGCAGCCGCGGUAAUACGUAGGUGGCAAGCGUUGUCCGGAAUUAUUGGGCGUAAAGCGCGCGCAGGCGGUUCUUUAAGUCUGAUGUGAAAUCUUGCGGCUCAACCGUGAGCGGUCAUUGGAAACUGGAGAACUUGAGUGCAGAAGAGAAGAGCGGAAUUCCACGUGUAGCGGUGAAAUGCGUAGAGAUGUGGAGGAACACCAGUGGCGAANGCGGCUCUUUGGUCUGUAACUGACGCUGAGCGCGAAAGCGUGGGGAGCGAACAGGAUUAGAUACCCUGGUAGUCCACGCCGUAAACGAUGANUGCUAAGUG
rnacentral:rRNA from 1 species